GCCUUCUUGGUGUAAUGGUGAACACACUCAGCACGCAUUCGAGAGGCCCGUGGUUCGAAUCCCGGCGAGGGCA
rfam:Stegodyphus mimosarum contig12418, whole genome shotgun sequence.